rnacentral:lncRNA from 1 species
CAGGACCUAGAAUUAAUCCUGAUGAACAAGGUUUAUGGUAGCAUGAACAAUCCUCCAUUGACGGAACACAAAAACAACCAUGCUCUGGCUUAGUAGUGAAGACAUAACCUCUGGUAUAAUCACACCGACAUUGUCUGUCAGAAUUUGUAGAUCCAUUAUUAAAAAUAACCUGUCCUUCCUCAUUGCAAUAUGUCUUUUCAAAACUGCAUGCUGACCUUCCAUAAGUUACAAAUUUAAAAGGCUGGUAUCUUGUACUUUCGCAUUUUCGUCGGUCCAAAUUUCCAGCUAUUACAAAUUUGUAUCCU